CAGUCGCCACGGUAACACGUAGGGCGCAAGCGUUGUCCGGAAUUAUUGGGCGUAAAGAGCUCGUAGGCGGCUUGUCACGUCUGCUGUGAAAUCCCGGGGCUCAACCCCGGGCGUGCAGUGGAUACGGGCUGGCUAGAGGCAGGCAGGGGAGAACGGAAUUCCCGGUGUAGCGGUGAAAUGCGCAGAUAUCGGGAGGAACACCGGUGGCGAAGGCGGUUCUCUGGGCCUGUUCUGACGCUGAGGAGCGAAAGCGUGGGGAGCGAACAGGAUUAGAUACCCCGGUAGUCCCUGUCUCUUAUAC
rnacentral:rRNA from 1 species